rnacentral:rRNA from 1 species
AGUGAACGCUGGCGGUAGGCCUAACACAUGCAAGUCGAACGGCAGCACAGGAGAGCUUGCUCUCUGGGUGGCGAGUGGCGGACGGGUGAGGAAUACAUCGGAAUCUACUCUGUCGUGGGGGAUAACGUAGGGAAACUUACGCUAAUACCGCAUACGACCUACGGGUGAAAGCAGGGGACCUUCGGGCCUUGCGCGAUUGAAUGAGCCGGUGUCGGAUUAGCUAGUUGGCGGGGUAAAGGCCCACCAAGGCGACGAUCCGUAGCUGGUCUGAGAGGAUGAUCAGCCACACUGGAACUGAGACACGGUCCAGACUCCUACGGGAGGCAGCAGUGGGGAAUAUUGGACAAUGGGCGCAAGCCCGAUCCAGUCAUACCGCGUGGGUGAAGAAGGCCUUCGGGUUGUAAAGCCCUUUUGUUGGGAAAGAAAUCCAGCUGGCUAAUACCCGGUUGGGAUGACGGUACCCAAAGAAUAAGCACCGGCUAACUUCGUGCCAGCCGCCGCAGUAA